rnacentral:rRNA from 1 species
GAUGAACGCUGGCGGCGUGCCUAAUACAUGCAAGUCGAGCGAACAGACGAGGAGCUUGCUCCUUUGACGUUAGCGGCGGACGGGUGAGUAACACGUAGGUAACCUACCUAUAAGACUGGGAUAACUUCGGGAAACCGGAGCUAAUACCGGAUAAUAUUUCGAACCGCAUGGUUCAAUAGUGAAAGAUGGCUUUGCUGUCACUUAUAGAUGGACCUGCGCCGUAUUAGCUAGUUGGUAAGGUAACGGCUUACCAAGGCAACGAUACGUAGCCGACCUGAGAGGGUGAUCGGCCACACUGGAACUGAGACACGGUCCAGACUCCUACGGGAGGCAGCAGUAGGGAAUCUUCCGCAAUGGGCGAAAGCCUGACGGAGCAACGCCGCGUGAGUGAUGAAGGUCUUCGGAUCGUAAAACUCUGUUAUUAGGGAAGAACAAACGUGUAAGUAACUGUGCACGUCUUGACGGUACCUAAUCAGAAAGCCACGGCUAACUACGUG